rnacentral:rRNA from 1 species
UAGCUACAGGCUUAACACAUGCAAGUCGAGGGGAAACGACAUCGAAAGCUUGCUUUUGAUGGGCGUCGACCGGCGCACGGGUGAGUAACGCGUAUCCAACCUGCCCACCACUUGGGGAUAACCUUGCGAAAGUAAGACUAAUACCCAAUGACGUCUCUAGAAGACAUCUGAAAGAGAUUAAAGAUUUAUCGGUGAUGGAUGGGGAUGCGUCUGAUUAGCUUGUUGGCGGGGUAACGGCCCACCAAGGCGACGAUCAGUAGGGGUUCUGAGAGGAAGGUCCCCCACAUUGGAACUGAGACACGGUCCAAACUCCUACGGGAGGCAGCAGUGAGGAAUAUUGGUCAAUGGACGAGAGUCUGAACCAGCCAAGUAGCGUGCAGGAUGACGGCCCUAUGGGUUGUAAACUGCUUUUAUAAGGGAAUAAAGUGAGUCUCGUGAGACUUUUUGCAUGUACCUUAUGAAUAAGGACCGGCUAAUUCCGUGCCAGCAGCCGCGGUAAUACGGAAGGUCCCGGGCGUUAUCCGGAUUUAUUGGGUUUAAAGGGAGCGUAGGCCGGAAAUUAAGCGUGUUGUGAAAUGUAGACGCUCAACGUCUGCACUGCAGCGCGAACUGGUUUCCUUGAGUACGCACAAAGUGGGCGGAAUUCGUGGUGUAGCGGUGAAAUGCUUAGAUAUCACGAAGAACUCCGAUUGCGAAGGCAGCUCACUGGAGCGCAACUGACGCUGAAGCUCGAAAGUGCGGGUAUCGAACAGGAUUAGAUACCCUGGUAGUCCGCACGGUAAACGAUGGAUGCCCGCUGUUGGUCUGAAUAGGUCAGCGGCCAAGCGAAAGCAUUAAGCAUCCCACCUGGGGAGUACGCCGGCAACGGUGAAACUCAAAGGAAUUGACGGGGGCCCGCACAAGCGGAGGAACAUGUGGUUUAAUUCGAUGAUACGCGAGGAACCUUACCCGGGCUUGAAUUGCAGAGGAAGGAUUUGGAGACAAUGACGCCCUUCGGGGCCUCUGUGAAGGUGCUGCAUGGUUGUCGUCAGCUCGUGCCGUGAGGUGUCGGCUUAAGUGCCAUAACGAGCGCAACCCCUCUCCUUAGUUGCCAUCAGGUCAAGCUGGGCACUCUGGGGACACUGCCACCGUAAGGUGUGAGGAAGG